CCUUCGAUAGCUCAGUUGGUAGAGCGGUGGACUGUAGAAGUUUGCUAUGACGGCAGUUAUCCAUAGGUCACUGGUUCAAAUCCGGUUCGAAGGA
rnacentral:tRNA from 2 species